ACAGCUCAAGGUGAGGUGGGAUUUGUGCUGCUCUGACUGGAUUUGUGCUCCUCUGACUGGAUUUGUGCUCCCAGGGAGGCACCCCUGGCUCCAUGGGAUGCUGCAUGCUCUGAGUUUGGGGUGGGAUCUUGAAAGAUCGAGUUUGCCAGGCUCUGGUUCAGGACUUGUUUCUAGCUCUUAGACUUUGUAGCUGAACAGGGGAAAUAAAUCCGCAUAAACCACUUAAUUUGUUGUUUUCUGGGAGGAAAAAAAAGGAGCUGUGGGUUGCAAACAUCUCUGCCCAGGACAGUGCCUGCAGCUGGAGCUGCAGCCUUGCCCCUGUGGCACCCUCCCUGCUCCUGGAGCUUUGCAAUAACUCAGUUAUCUGACAAAUCUGAGAAGUCAGAUCGGGAAGGAAAUCAGCUCUUCCCAGAUUUCUGAUUUUCAUCAGACAUGGCAGCACCAAACCAGCAGAAAGUGGAGCACAACCACCCGUUCCAUCUCCCUGCUGCCCUCUGUGCCCAUCCCAGCCGGGCUCGGUGGGUGGCUCUGAUCCCAUGGGGGGCCUCCCAAACUCCUGGCAUCACUUCUCUCCCGAUGCCUGGGUGAAGUGCCAAGCUUUCCUUCCCUUCCCUUCCCUUCCCCUCCCUCCCUCCCGCAGCCGGGGGGGUGUUUAAUGUGCGGCCGGCGUUCCCUGCAGGCCGGCGCCCUGCAUUUGAACCGAUGCUUUUCAGCUCCGGCUGAAAAGGAGCCGGCGCGGGGCCUCGCCUCUUAAUUGCGGAGGAGGGGGAACAUGGAAAAGCCUCUGGCUGCCGCUAAUGCAGGAGAAGGCGGCUGCUCCGGAGGCACAGCAUCCUCCCAGCGGGGUGGGAGCCGAGCCGGAGCGCUCAUCCUGGGAAUGCGCCAGCGGCGAGGGCCAGCGGCGGAGCUGCGGAGCUGGAUCCCGCUGAGAGGAUGAAAACAUGGGGCUCAAGUUAUCCUGCCUGAAAGCUGGAUCACCCCGGAGAGGAUUUUCCCAGCUUUAUUUUCCCCAUUCCUGUGCUCGUUCUACACUCUUUGCUCUGGAGAAUCCAUGGGUUAAGGGCAGCCCUCAAGAAAUCAGGUGGGUUUCCUUGGAGGCAGGGAAGGGCUGCUCAGGGACACGUGCUCAGGGUUCUGGCUCCAGGCCUCCAGGCUGACCCCCAGCAUCCCCCACUGCUCCACUCUCCCCAGGGAUACUCCAACCGGGAGCUUCUUCCCCAACUUUCAUUUUCUUAAUGGAUUUGGGCUGGGAACGGCGUCAGGGAUGUCUGCACUGGGGCAAAGAGGGAGCUUUUAGUGCUGCUGGCCUCGCAGGGCGAAGGCUGGAUAUCGCAUCUCCCAUUAGCUCUGCGUCCCUCUGGCUCCUGCUAAUCGUCCUUGGGGUCGUUAGGGAUGGGACUUAAUGAGGAUCCCUUCCUAGGAUGCAGAGCUGCCUCUUCCCUGGCCUUU
rnacentral:lncRNA from 1 species